rnacentral:rRNA from 1 species
CCUACGGGUGGCUGCAGUGGGGAAUAUUGGACAAUGGGCGAAAGCCUGAUCCAGCCAUGCCGCGUGUGUGAAGAAGGCCUUCGGGUUGUAAAGCACUUUCAGUGGGGAAGAAAGCCUUGGGGCUAAUACCCUCGAGGAAGGACAUCACCCACAGAAGAAGCACCGGCUAACUCCGUGCCAGCAGCCGCGGUAAUACGGAGGGUGCGAGCGUUAAUCGGAAUUACUGGGCGUAAAGCGCGCGUAGGCGGUCUGAUAAGCCGGUUGUGAAAGCCCCGGGCUCAACCUGGGAACGGCAUCCGGAACUGUCAGGCUAGAGUGCAGGAGAGGAAGGUAGAAUUCCCGGUGUAGCGGCGAAAUGCGUAGAGAUCGGGAGGAAUACCAGUGGCGAAGGCGGCCUUCUGGACUGACACUGACGCUGAGGUGCGAAAGCGUGGGUAGCAAACAGGAUUAGAUACCCUAGUAGUC